GAAUUGAUCUGGUUCAGGAUGAACGCUAGCGACAGGCCUAACACAUGCAAGUCGAGGGGCAGCACAAGGAGCAAUCUGAGGUGGCGACCGGCGCACGGGUGAGUAACACGUAUGCAACCUGGCUGUAAGAGGGGGAAUAACCCGGAGAAAUCCGGACUAAUACCGCAUAAUACUUAGAAUCCGCAUGGAUUUUAAGUUAAACAUUUAUGGCUUACAGAUGGGCAUGCGUAUGAUUAGCUGGUUGGAGAGGUAGCGGCUCCCCAAGGCAACGAUCAUUAGGGGUUCUGAGAGGAAGGUCCCCCACACUGGUACUGAGACACGGACCAGACUCCUACGGGAGGCAGCAGUGAGGAAUAUUGGUCAAUGGACGCAAGUCUGAACCAACGCCAAGUCGCGUGAAGGAAGAAUGUCCUAUGGAUCGUAAACUUCUUUGAAGGGAAUAAAGUACGGUACGUGUACCGUUUUGUAUGUACCCUUCGAAUAAGGAUCGGCUAACUCCGUGCCAGCCGCCGC
rnacentral:rRNA from 1 species